UUCUUAGUCCAGAUCAGUUGAUAGAGCAUGAGACUCUUAAUGUCAGGGUCAUGGGUUUGAGCCCCACCCUGGGCAA